UACAGAGGUCUCAAGCGUUGUUCGGAUUCAUUGGGCGUAAAGGGCGCGUAGGCUGCGGGGCAAGUCGGGUGUGAAAUCUUGGAGCUUAACUCCGAAACUGCAUUCGAUACUGCCGUGCUUGAGGACUGGAGAGGAGACUGGAAUUUACGGUGUAGCGGUGAAAUGCGUAGAUAUCGUAAGGAAGACCAGUGGCGAAGGCGGGUCUCUGGACAGUUCCUGACGCUGAGGCACGAAGGCCAGGGGAGCAAACGGG
rnacentral:rRNA from 1 species